rnacentral:rRNA from 1 species
UACGUAGGGUGCGAGCGUUAAUCGGAAUUACUGGGCGUAAAGCGUGCGCAGGCGGUUUUGUAAGCCAGAUGUGAAAGCCCCGGGCUUAACCUGGGAAUGGCAUUUGGGACUGCAAGGCUUGAGUGCGGCAGAGGAGAAUGGAAUUCCUGGUGUAGCGGUGAAAUGCGCAGAUAUCAGGAAGAACACCCGUGGCUAAGGCGGUUCUCUGGGACGGUACUGACGCUGAGACGCGAAAGCGUGGGGAGCGAACAGG